GGAAAAGAAACUAACUAGGAUUCCCUUAGUAACGGCGAGUGAACCGGGAUGAGCUCAAAUUUAAAAUCUGGCGUCUUUCAGGCGUCCGAGUUGUAAUCUAUAGAGGCGUUUUCCGCGCCGGACCGCGUCCAAGUCUCUUGGAAUAGAGUAUCAAAGAGGGUGACAAUCCCGUACUUGACGCGACAACCGGUGCUCUGUGAUACGUUCUCAAUGAGUCGAGUUGUUUGGGAAUGCAGCUCUAAAUGGGUGGUAAAUUCCAUCUAAGGCUAAAUAUUGGCGAGAGACCGAUAGCGAACAAGUACCGUGAGGGAAAGAUGAAAAGCACUUUGGAAAGAGAGUUAAACAGCACGUGAAAUUGUUAAAAGGGAAACGAUUGAAGUCAGUCGUGUGAAAGGUAUUCAGCCGUCUCUGGCGGUGUAUUUGCCUUUCACGGGUCAACAUCAGUUUGAUCCGGUAGAAAAAGGCAGGAGGAAGGUGGCACCCUCGGGUGUGUUAUAGCCUCUUGUCAUAUGUGCCGGACCAGACUGAGGAACGCAGCUUGCCGCAAG
rnacentral:rRNA from 1 species